rnacentral:tRNA from 1 species
GCCUUCGUAGUGUAGUGGUCAGCACGCUCGACGCGUAUUCGAGAGGUCCGUGGUUCGAGUCCUGGCGAGGGCU